UAAUAUAUAUAUAUGUGUAUAUAUAUAUAUAUUUACUUAUCUACGUAGAAAGAUAUAACAACCGCUGAUCGUCAUCUCGCAGAUUCCUCGUAAAAUAAACUCGCUCGAGAGAGAGAAAGAGCAUACCCUCUACCUAUCUACCUACCUGUGUGAAUGAAUUUUCCAAAUAUACUGGCCUGUCGAAGAAUAAUUAUGUUUUAAUAUUAUUUGAAAAUUUUAUGAAAAAAUUAUAUGAGAAAAGAGAAGAGUGACGUCAUUGUAGCGGGAAAUUCGAGAUUUCGAUAGCGUCGUUUUAGGAGGGAAAUUGAGAGGAGAGAAGGAGGGUGAAGUGUGCGUGUCUCUUUCUCUCUCUCUCUCUCUCUCUCUCUCUCUCUCUCUCUCUCUCUCUCUCUCUCUCUCUCUCUCUCUCUCGCUUUCUCUCUGGGGUGCCAGCCAGUUUCGUGAUACGAAGCAGCAUGGAUCGAUAGCGUGAGCUCCUUCGAGUCCUCUCGGGCUAGCGAUUCCUGGAGGAUUCGAAGGAGAGAACCGAAGCACUUGGUGAGCGUAUAUGUGUAUGUGUAUCUGUGUGUCUGUGUACGUGUAUGUCUAUGUGUAUGUGUAUAUGUGCGAGACCUGCAGAGGGUUUCGACCUGCCGCCAUCGACGUCGCCAUCGUGUCGUGCCGGUACGCCGCCCUUGCACCGCCCCAGGGACGACUACCACCUUUUGUCGUUCCUUUCUCGUCCCUUUUUGGUAGCUCGAGUGGACGAGAAAGAAAGAGAGAGAGAGAGAGAAAGAGAAAGAGAGAGACGAAAAUUUGAGGCCUCGUCGACGAUGACGAUGACUACGACGUCGACGAGACUGGCUGCUCACCAGCUGCUGUUCUCGGGGCUCCUUGGAAAAUCAACGAACGCAGCUGCUUCCGUCGAAGUCGAUAGAACGAAGUCUCCUCGACGAAUUCGAAAUUCGAGAGAUCCUUUCAACUCAAAUCUCCUUCCUUUCCGAUUCGAUUCUUCGUGCUGGUUAAUACGUGGAGACCCUCGAAUUCUCGAGACGGGCUACGCUUUUGCUUUUUGUCGGCUCUCGAGUCCACCACCGCACCACGGACCGAGUUUAAAGGUAAACGAGUUUCUCUCGGCUGUUCAAGCGCGCCACAUCAUCGAAAGGCCCAACCUCUUAUGCUGCUUGGGCCUGCGUUUAUAUAUGUAUAGGCAUAUAUAUACAUAUACAUACGUAUAUAUAUAUAUAUAUAUAUAUAUAUAUAUAUAUAUAUAUAGCAUAGUUACAUAGCGUGCUCACCUCGUGGCCUGAACUGCUCCACACGCACCGUGACAACGGGGCCUCGAUAUUCCGGUUACCUUCGCUUCGGCUUUACCGGCUGUUACUUUAAAUUUAUAUUAACGCGUUCCUUCCUACCAGAAGACAUUCGAGAAUGGUAUUGAACGCUCCGAAUGAAAUCGGAAGUCGAUGAGAAUCUUAAUAAAAUUUUACAUUCUUAUAUAUAUAUAUAUAUAUAUAUA